rnacentral:rRNA from 1 species
GACGAACCGAGCGAACGUUGUUCGGAAUCACUGGGCUUAAAGGGCGCGUAGGCGGGUGCUCAAGUCCGGGGUGAAAUCCUCCAGCUCAACUUGAGAACUGCCUCGGAUACUGGGUGUCUCGAGUGUGGUAGGGGUAUGCGUAACUAUCGGUGGAGCGGUGAAAUACGUUGAUAUCGAUAGGAACUCCGGUGGCGAAGGCGGCAUACUGGACCACUACUGACGCUGAUGCGCGAAAGCCAGGGGAGCAAACGGG